rnacentral:rRNA from 1 species
UGGGGAAUAUUGCACAAUGGGCGCAAGCCUGAUGCAGCCAUGCCGCGUGUAUGAAGAAGGCCUUCGGGUUGUAAAGUACUUUCAGCGAGGAGGAAGGCGUUGUGGUUAAUAACCGCAGCGAUUGACGUUACUCGCAGAAGAAGCACCGGCUAACUCCGUGCCAGCAGCCGCGGUAAUACGGAGGGUGCAAGCGUUCAUCGGAAUUACUGGGUAUAAAGCGCACGCAGGCGGUCUGUCAAGUCGGAUGUGAAAUCCCCGGGCUCAACCUGGGAACUGCAUCCGAAACUGGCAGGCUAGAGUCUUGUAGAGGGGGGUAGAAUUCCAGGUGUAGCGGUGAAAUGCGUAGAGAUCUGGAGGAAUACCGGUGGCGAAGGCGGCCCCCUGGACAAAGACUGACGCUCAGGUGCGAAAGCGUGGGGAGCAAACA